GUCUGACUACUCGGAACACUGGACUUUAUUCACACAGCGCGAACCACACUGUGGUCAGGAACAUCUUUGGUUAUAAGUGAGAUAUCUACCAAAGACUUACAAUCUACAAUAUGAAGAUGAGAACACAAGCGGUCUUGCUCGCUGCCUGCGCUGGCCUUGUCAUUUGCGUUGCACAGGCCGACGAAUUAUCAGAAAAUUGCAACUUUCUUGACGAACACCUGGAGCGCGCCAUCGACUCUUUCAUUGAAAAGCUUCCGGCAGGGCGUUCCAAGACACUGGAAAAUGAAUUCCCGCCUUUUAUAUCCAAAAACAUUGAAUUCAAGUUAUUGGGCCUCAACUCCCUUCGUCCCUUCGGUCCAUUCUUGACCUUCUGCAGAAACGGUAGCAGAUUUGUGCAAUUUGAUCUUGUCAACAAGAGGCCCCUGAUUCUCGUGGGAACGCAGACUAACGACACUAAUACCAAUGAAAUUUUGAGUCGCGCUCUGCUGGUACGAUUCACUGGGCAGUUCGAAGUGGAAGGUGCUGGGGAGGACCUGAAGAUCCAUUUCAAAGAAAAUGUGCCCGUAUCCAUGGUCGGACUGAACAUGAUACUGAGGGCUGCAGACAAAGAAAAAAAAGAGGACGCUCGAAUCGUUCUCAGCACACCAAAUCUUCACUUGCUACUCUCCCUCUGGAACGGCAUGCUUUACGGUGUAGUGGAUACACUUUUCACCGAAAUAUUAGGCAAAAAAUAAAGACCUUCCGGUCAGAA